rnacentral:lncRNA from 1 species
GAACAACACCAGGCACAACACCAGGUACUACACCAGGCACCACACCAGGAACAACUCCCGGAACAACACCUGGAACCACUCCAGCUACAACACCUGCAACAACCCCAGGAACGACAGCCGGAACAACCCCUGGAACAA